rnacentral:rRNA from 1 species
UACGUAGGGGGCUAGCGUUGUCCGGAAUCAUUGGGCGUAAAGAGCGUGUAGGCGGUCCGGUAAGUCCGCUGUGAAAGUCGGGGGCUCAACCCUCGAAUGCCGGUGGAUACUGUCGGGCUAGAGGACGGAAGAGGCGAGUGGAAUUCCUGGUGUAGCGGUGAAAUGCGCAGAUAUCAGGAAGAACACCCGUGGCGAAGGCGGCUCUCUGGGACGGUACUGACGCUGAGGCGCGAAAGCGUGGGGAUCAAACAGG